AGUGGACGCUGGCGGUAGGCCUAACACAUGCAAGUCGAACGGCAGCACAGUAAGAGCUUGCUCUUACGGGUGGCGAGUGGCGGACGGGUGAGGAAUACAUCGGAAUCUACUUUUUCGUGGGGGAUAACGUAGGGAAACUUACGCUAAUACCGCAUACGACCUACGGGUGAAAGCAGGGGAUCUUCGGACCUUGCGCGAUUGAAUGAGCCGAUGUCGGAUUAGCUAGUUGGCGGGGUAAAGGCCCACCAAGGCGACGAUCCGUAGCUGGUCUGAGAGGAUGAUCAGCCACACUGGGACUGAGACACGGUCCAGACUCCUACGGGAGGCAGCAGUGGGGAAUAUUGGACAAUGGGCGCAAGCCUGAUCCAGCCAUACCGCGUGGGUGAAGAAGGCCUUCGGGUUGUAAAGCCCUUUUGUUGGGAAAGAAAAGCAGCAGGUUAAUACCCCGCUGUUCUGACGGUACCCAAAGAAUAAGCACCGGCUAACUUCGUG
rnacentral:rRNA from 1 species